rnacentral:rRNA from 1 species
AGCAGCCGCGGUAAUUCCAGCUCCAAUAGCGUAUAUUAAAGUUGUUGCAGUUAAAAAGCUCGUAGUUGAAUUUCGGGAUCAAUACGUCGGUCGUGCCUCGGUACGUACUAACGUUAUUGAUUUCUCCCUUCUAACAAAUCGUGAUGUCAUUAAUUUGGUGUUACGAGGAGUUAGGACUGUUACCUUGAAAAAAUUAGAGUGUUUAAAGCAGGCAAUCGCUCGAAUACAUUAGCAUGGAAUAAUGAAAUAGGACGUUCGAACCUAUUUUGUUGGUUUCUAGGAUCAACGUAAUGAUUAAUAGGGAUAGUUGGGGGCAUUAGUAUUCAAUUGUCAGAGGUGAAAUUCUUGGAUUUAUUGAAGACUAACUACUGCGAAAGCAUUUGCCAAGGAUGUUUUCAUUAAUCAAGAACGAAAGUUAGGGGAUCGAAGACGAUCAGAUACCGUCGUAGUCUUAACCAUAAACUAUGCCGACUAGGGAUCGGAUGAUGUUAAUUUUUUAAUGACUCAUUCGGCGCCUUACG